ensembl:lncRNA
GGCCAAGUGCACACAUGAGUGUACAGCUAAGCUUGUACCACCCUAAGAGGUCGAAUACUGACAUAGGAGAAUAUAAUAAAAAUAUUAAUUAAACAUUGAAUUAUUACCAAAAAAAAGAGUUACCUUUUUUCUUCUUCACUGUACAACGAAUAUAAAACAUACAAAACAUUUGCUGGUUAAAAUGCAUUUGUCAGUAACAAGUUAUAAGUUUAGGCACAGGUCAAAUUCCAACAGGAGGUUCAGGAAAUGUCCCUAUCGUGACUAUUGAGCUGCUGUAACUCUUUUUCUGUCUCUUGGUCUCAUAGCUUAGCUUACUUUACAGUCUCGUAGCUUACUUUACAGAGAAACAAUUGAAUGUCCUUGGAUGGACUUGGAUGGUCUUGGAUGGUCUUGGAUGGUCUUGGAUGGUCUUGGAUGUCAUUGGAUGGUCUUGGAUGGUCUUGGAUGGUCUUGGAUGGUCGGAUGGUCUUGGAUGGUCUUGGAUGUCCUUCAAUGGUCUUGGAUGGUCAUGGAUGGUCUUGGAUGGUCUUGGAUGGUUUUGGAUGGUCUUGGAUGGUCUUGGAUGGUCUUGGAUGGCCUUCGAUGGU